GGAUUUAUCCCAGUUACUCAAGGUAAGCUGUCGUUUCGAACUCUCGAAAGAGUGUGUCGAAUAACUAAAAUUUUUGGAAACGCUUCUUCGGGGUUAUCCGGAGAGGCAAA
rnacentral:sRNA from 1 species